GAUGAACGCUGGCGGCGUGCCUAAUACAUGCAAGUCGAGCGAACGGACGAGAAGCUUGCUUCUCUGAUGUUAGCGGCGGACGGGUGAGUAACACGUGGAUAACCUACCUAUAAGACUGGGAUAACUUCGGGAAACCGGAGCUAAUACCGGAUAAUAUUUUGAACCGCAUGGUUCAAAAGUGAAAGACGGUCUUGCUGUCACUUAUAGAUGGAUCCGCGCUGCAUUAGCUAGUUGGUAAGGUAACGGCUUACCAAGGCAACGAUGCAUAGCCGACCUGAGAGGGUGGUCGGCCACACUGGAACUGAGACACGGUCCAGACUCCUACGGGAGGCAGCAGUAGGGAAUCUUCCGCAGUGGGCGAAAGCCUGACGGAGCAACGCCGCGUGAGUGAUGAAGGUCUUCGGAUCGUAAAACUCUGUUAUUAGGGAAGAACAUAUGUGUAAGUAACUGUGCACAUCUUGACGGUACCUAAUCAGAAAGCCACGGCUAACUACGUGCCAGCAGCCGCGGUAAUACGUAGGUGGCAAGCGUUAUCCGGAAUUAUUGGGCGUAAAGCGCGCGUAGGCGGUUUUUUAAGUCUGAUGUGAAAGCCCACGGCUCAACCGUGGAGGGUCAUUGGAAACUGGAAAACUUGAGUGCAGAAGAGGAAAGUGGAAUUCCAUGUGUAGCGGUGAAAUGCGCAGAGAUAUGGAGGAACACCAGUGGCGAAGGCGACUUUCUGGUCUGUAACUGACGCUGAUGUGCGAAAGCGUGGGGAUCAAACAGGAUUAGAUACCCUGGUAGUCCACGCCGUAAACGAUGAGUGCUAAGUGUUAGGGGGUUUCCGCCCCUUAGUGCUGCAGCUAACGCAUUAAGCACUCCGCCUGGGGAGUACGACCGCAAGGUUGAAACUCAAAGGAAUUGACGGGGACCCGCACAAGCGGUGGAGCAUGUGGUUUAAUUCGAAGCAACGCGAAGAACCUUACCAAAUCUUGACAUCCUUUGACAACUCUAGAGAUAGAGCUUUCCCCUUCGGGGGACAAAGUGACAGGUGGUGCAUGGUUGUCGUCAGCUCGUGUCGUGAGAUGUUGGGUUAAGUCCCGCAACGAGCGCAACCCUUAAGCUUAGUUGCCAUCAUUAAGUUGGGCACUCUAAGUUGACUGCCGGUGACAAACCGGAGGAAGGUGGGGAUGACGUCAAAUCAUCAUGCCCCUUAUGAUUUGGGCUACACACGUGCUACAAUGGACAAUACAAAGGGCAGCGAAACCGCGAGGUCAAGCAAAUCCCAUAAAGUUGUUCUCAGUUCGGAUUGUAGUCUGCAACUCGACUACAUGAAGUUGGAAUCGCUAGUAAUCGUAGAUCAGCAUGCUACGGUGAAUACGUUCCCGGGUCU
rnacentral:rRNA from 1 species